rnacentral:rRNA from 1 species
UGGGGAAUAUUGCACAAUGGGCGCAAGCCUGAUGCAGCCAUGCCGCGUGUAUGAAGAAGGCCUUCGGGUUGUAAAGUACUUUCAGUCGGGAGGAAGGUGGUAAGGUUAAUAACCUUAUCAAUUGACGUUACCGACAGAAGAAGCACCGGCUAACUCCGUGCCAGCAGCCGUGGUAAUACGGAGGGUGCAAGCGUUAAUCGGAAUUACUGGGCGUAAAGCGCACGCAGGCGGUUGAUUGAGUCAGAUGUGAAAUCCCCGGGCUUAACCCGGGAAGUGCAUCUGAUACUGGUCAGCUAGAGUCUUGUAGAGGGGGGUAGAAUUCCAUGUGUAGCGGUGAAAUGCGUAGAGAUGUGGAGGAAUACCGGUGGCGAAGGCGGCCCCCUGGACAAAGACUGACACUCUGGUGCGAAAGCGUGGGGAGCAAACAGG